rnacentral:tRNA from 1 species
GGAGAGGUGCUAGAGUGGUUGAAUAGGCUCGCCUGGAAAGCGUGUAGGGGGAAACCCCUCGCGGGUUCGAAUCCCGCCCUCUCCGCCA